rnacentral:rRNA from 1 species
UGGGGAAUCUUCCGCAAUGGACGAAAGUCUGACGGAGCAACGCCGCGUGAGUGAUGACGGCCUUCGGGUUGUAAAGCUCUGUUAAUCGGGACGAAUGGUUCUUGUGCGAAUAGUGCAAGGAUUUGACGGUACCGGAAUAGAAAGCCACGGCUAACUACGUGCCAGCAGCCGCGGUAAUACGUAGGUGGCAAGCGUUGUCCGGAAUUAUUGGGCGUAAAGCGCGCGCAGGCGGAUUGGUCAGUCUGUCUUAAAAGUUCGGGGCUUAACCCCGUGAUGGGAUGGAAACUGCCAAUCUAGAGUAUCGGAGAGGAAAGUGGAAUUCCUAGUGUAGCGGAGAAAUGCGUAGAUAUUAGGAAGAACACCAGUGGCGAAGGCGACUUUCUGGACGAAAACUGACGCUGAGGCGCGAAAGCCAGGGGAGCGAACGGG